CCAACGGCCCUCUUUAGGGCCACAAUUCUUAAUAAAACUUAUACAU
rfam:Steinernema glaseri strain NC unplaced genomic scaffold GLAS_7493, whole genome shotgun sequence.